CUCAGGACUCAGAUCCAGAGAAGCUCAUAAAAAGACAGGCCUCCUGGGAAACCUACAGAAGAUAAUCAACUUUCCAGAGGAUGGAAGAAGAGAGCUCAAACACUCUUAUCAAUGUGAGGAUAUUUAGAAGUGGAGACUUUGGGAGAGAGCUUUCAUUCUCUCUCCUUCUGUACCAACACUGAGGAAAAGCCAUGUGUGCAGACAGCAGAAUGGAAGCCAUCUAUAUGACAGAAAGGGAGUCCUCACCAGAACCCAUCCAUGCUGACACUUUGAUCUUAGACUUCCAAUCUCCGGGACAAUGAGAAAAUAAAUUUCUGUUGUUUAAGCCAC